AUUGAACGCUGGCGGCAGGCCUAACACAUGCAAGUCGAGCGGAUGAAGGGAGCUUGCUCCUGGAUUCAGCGGCGGACGGGUGAGUAAUGCCUAGGAAUCUGCCUGGUAGUGGGGGAUAACGUCCGGAAACGGGCGCUAAUACCGCAUACGUCCUGAGGGAGAAAGUGGGGGAUCUUCGGACCUCACGCUAUCAGAUGAGCCUAGGUCGGAUUAGCUAGUUGGUGGGGUAAAGGCCUACCAAGGCGACGAUCCGUAACUGGUCUGAGAGGAUGAUCAGUCAAAAUGGAACUGAGAAACGGUCCAGACUCCUACGGGAGGCAGCAGUGGGGAAUAUUGGAAAAUGGGCGAAAGCCUGAUCCAGCCAUGCCGCGUGUGUGAAGAAGGUCUUCGGAUUGUAAAGCACUUUAAGUUGGGAGGAAGGGCAGUAAGUUAAUACCUUGCUGUUUUGACGUUACCAACAGAAUAAGCACCGGCUAACUUCGUG
rnacentral:rRNA from 1 species